rnacentral:rRNA from 1 species
GAUGAACGCUGGCGGCGUGCCUAAUACAUGCAAGUCGAGCGAAUGGAUUAAGAGCUUGCUCUUAUGAAGUUAGCGGCGGACGGGUGAGUAACACGUGGGUAACCUGCCCAUAAGACUGGGAUAACUACGGGAAACCGGGGCUAAUACCGGAUAACAUUUUGAACCGCAUGGUUCGAAAUUGAAAGGCGGCUUCGGCUGUCACGUCUGGAUGGACCCGCGUCGCAUUAGCCAGUUGGUGAGGUAACGGCUCCCCAAGGCAACGAUGCGUAGCCGACCUGAGAGGGUGAUCGGCCACACUGGGACUGAGACACGGCCCAGACUCCUACGGGAGGCAGCAGUAGGGAAUCUUCCGCAAUGGACGAAAGUCUGACGGAGCAACGCCGCGUGAGUGAUGAAGGCUUUCGGGUCGUAAAACUCUGUUGUUAGGGAAGAGCAAGUGCUAGUUGAAUAAGCUGGCACCUUGACGGUACCUAACCAGAAAGCCACGGCUAACUACGUGCCAGCAGCCGCAGUAA